AGAGCGAACGCUGGCGGCAGGCCUAACACAUGCAAGUCGAACGGACCCUUCGGGGUUAGUGGCGGACGGGUGAGUAACACGUGGGAACGUGCCUUUUGGUUCGGAAUAGCUCCUGGAAACGGGUGGUAAUGCCGAAUGUGCCCUUCGGGGGAAAGAUUUAUCGCCAUUAGAGCGGCCCGCGUCUGAUUAGCUAGUUGGUAAGGUAAUGGCUUACCAAGGCGACGAUCAGUAGCUGGUCUGAGAGGAUGACCAGCCACAUUGGGACUGAGACACGGCCCAAACUCCUACGGGAGGCAGCAGUGGGGAAUCUUGCGCAAUGGGCGAAAGCCUGACGCAGCCAUGCCGCGUGAAUGAUGAAGGUCUUAGGAUUGUAAAAUUCUUUCACCGGGACGAUAAUGACGGUACCCGGAGAAGAAGCCCGGCUAACUUCGUGCCAGCAGCCGC
rnacentral:rRNA from 1 species